UACUACCGAAGCUACGGCAUCAGUAAUGAUGGGUAGGGGAGCUUCCCAUACGGGUUGAAGCAUGACCGUAAGGACAUGUGGACAGUAUGGGAGUGAGAAUGUUGGCAUGAGUAGCGAGAUGUGGGUGAGAAUCCCACAGGCCGUAAACCCAAGGUUUCCAGGGGAAGGUUCGUCCGCCCUGGGGUAGUCGGGACCUAAGCUGAGGCCGAAAGGCGUAGGUGAUGGACAACAGGUUGAUAUUCCUGUACUACCGAUAACCGUUUGAGAGAAGGGAUGACACAGUAGGAUAAGCUAAGCACACUGUUGGUUAU
rnacentral:rRNA from 1 species